rnacentral:rRNA from 1 species
GACGAACGCUGGCGGCGUGCUUAACACAUGCAAGUCGAACGGAAAGGCCCUGCUUUUGUGGGGUGCUCGAGUGGCGAACGGGUGAGUAACACGUGAGUAACCUGCGCUUGACGUUGUGAUAACUUCAGGAAACUGGGGCUAAUACCGGAUAGGAGCUCCUGCUGCAUGGUGGGGGUUGGAAAGUUUCGGCGGCUGGGGAUAGACUCGCGGCUUACUAGCUUGUUGGUGGAGGAGUUGCUUACCAAGGCUUAGACGGGUAGCCUGCCUGGGAGGGUGGCCGGGCACAUGAGGCCUGAGGUAGGCAGCAGUGGGGAACGGUGGGCAAUGGGGGAAAGUAUGGCACAGUGGGGCGGCGUGUGAUACGAAGGUGCUGGGUGCGGAAUGCCGGCUUACGGGUUGUGAACCGCUGUCGCCUGAGACGAAGCGUGAGUGACGGUACUGGGUAAAGAAGCACCGGCUAACUACGUG